rnacentral:sRNA from 1 species
GCACACAUGGAUAUGUAUUUUGAGAAAAUUGAAAUUUAUCCUUUUUAAGAGGUCACUUCAUUGAGAUAAAAACAAAGAUGUUCUUCAUUAAACAUUAUUUAUAAUUACGAAUUAUUUUCUAUUUUGACCAAGGAAGUCUAAAUAAUGAAUUGGUUUUUAUCAUGUGAUGAACUGAGAAACAUCUUUGAAAUUUCCCUUUUUCUUCCUAGAUGCCAAACUUGCCAGUAGGGAGAAGGGAAAGUUUUGCUUUAAGGCAAUAAGAUGUGAGAAAAAAGAAGCGGCCGCACAGUCCUCUGAAAAAUAUACCUUUGCAGAUAUCAUCUUUGGAAAUGAACAGAUAAUAAGUUCAGCAAGCCCAUGUGCAGACUUCUUUUAUCGAAGUUUAUCUUCUGAAUUGAAAAAACCACAAGCUCACUUGCCUGUGCAUACAGAAAAACAGUCAACAGAGGAUGCUGUGAGAUUGAUUAAAAAAUGCAGUGAGGUAGAUUUGAAUAUUGUCAUAUUAUGGAAGGCAUACGUUGUGGAAGACAGUAAACAGCUUAUUUUGGAAGGUCAACAUCAUGUUAUUCUUCGCACUA